ACGCUGUAGCAAUACAGAGUGGCAGACGGGUGUGUAACGCGUGGGUACGUGCCUUUCGGUUCGGAAUAUACUCAGGGAUACUUGAGCUAAUCCCGGAUACGCCCUGUGGGGGAAAGAUUUAUUGCCGAAAGUAUCGGCCCGCGUCCGAUUAGCUAAGUUGGUGUGGUAAUGGCGCACCAAGGCGACGAUCGGUAGCUGGUCUGAGAGGAUGAUCAGCCACACUGGGACUGAGACACGGCCCAGACUCCUACGGGAGGCAGCAGUGGGGAAUAUUGGACAAUGGGCGCAAGCCUGAUCCAGCCAUGCCGCGUGAGUGAUGAAGGCCCUAGGGUUGGUAAGCUCUUUCGCCAGGGACGAUAAUGACGGUACCCUGGAUAAGAAGCCCCGGCUAACUUCGUGCCAGCAGCCGCGGUAAUACGAAGGGGGCUAGCGUUGUUCGGAAUCACUGGGCCGUAAAGCGCACGUAGCGGAUCUUUAAGUCAGGGGUGAAAUCCCAGGCUCAACCUCGGAACUGCCUUUGAUACUGGAGGUCUCGGUCCGGGAGAGGUGAGUGGAACUGCGAGU
rnacentral:rRNA from 1 species